UUUUUAACUCUUGCAGUGCACAAUUGUGGGGUUUUGUCGUUGCCUUUAUGCUGUUCAACAUCAAUGGAUCUAAUCUUUAUUUCUGGAUAGCUAUUAUUCCUGUUACGCUUGUCCUCUUGGUGGGUGCAAAGUUGCAGCAUGUUAUUGCAACUCUAGCACUGGAAAGU